UUAAGCGACUAAGCGUACACGGUGGAUGCCCUGGCAGUCAGAGGCGAUGAAGGACGUGCUAAUCUGCGAUAAGCGUCGGUGAGGUGAUAUGAACCGUUAUAACCGGCGAUUUCCGAAUGGGGAAACCCAGUGUGUUUCGACACACUAUCAUUAACUGAAUCCAUAGGUUAAUGAGGCGAACCGGGGGAACUGAAACAUCUAAGUACCCCGAGGAAAAGAAAUCAACCGAGAUUCCCCCAGUAGCGGCGAGCGAACGGGGAGGAGCCCAGAGCCUGAAUCAGUGUGUGUGUUAGUGGAAGCGUCUGGAAAGGCGUGCGAUACAGGGUGACAGCCCCGUACACAAAAAUGCACAUAUUGUGAGCUCGAUGAGUAGGGCGGGACACGUGGUAUCCUGUCUGAAUAUGGGGGGACCAUCCUCCAAGGCUAAAUACUCCUGACUGACCGAUAGUGAACCAGUACCGUGAGGGAAAGGCGAAAAGAACCCCGGCGAGGGGAGUGAAAAAGAACCUGAAACCGUGUACGUACAAGCAGUGGGAGCCUCUUAAUGGGGUGACUGCGUACCUUUUGUAUAAUGGGUCAGCGACUUAUAUUCUGUAGCAAGGUUAACCGAAUAGGGGAGCCGAAGGGAAACCGAGUCUUAACUGGGCGUUAAGUUGCAGGGUAUAGACCCGAAACCCGGUGAUCUAGCCAUGGGCAGGUUGAAGGUUGGGUAACACUAACUGGAGGACCGAACCGACUAAUGUUGAAAAAUUAGCGGAUGACUUGUGGCUGGGGGUGAAAGGCCAAUCAAACCGGGAGAUAGCUGGUUCUCCCCGAAAGCUAUUUAGGUAGCGCCUCGUGAAUUCAUCUCCGGGGGUAGAGCACUGUUUCGGCAAGGGGGUCAUCCCGACUUACCAACCCGAUGCAAACUGCGAAUACCGGAGAAUGUUAUCACGGGAGACACACGGCGGGUGCUAACGUCCGUCGUGAAGAGGGAAACAACCCAGACCGCCAGCUAAGGUCCCAAAGUCAUGGUUAAGUGGGAAACGAUGUGGGAAGGCCCAGACAGCCAGGAUGUUGGCUUAGAAGCAGCCAUCAUUUAAAGAAAGCGUAAUAGCUCACUGGUCGAGUCGGCCUGCGCGGAAGAUGUAACGGGGCUAAACCAUGCACCGAAGCUGCGGCAGCGACGCUUAUGCGUUGUUGGGUAGGGGAGCGUUCUGUAAGCCUGUGAAGGUGGCCUGUGAGGGUUGCUGGAGGUAUCAGAAGUGCGAAUGCUGACAUAAGUAACGAUAAAGCGGGUGAAAAGCCCGCUCGCCGGAAGACCAAGGGUUCCUGUCCAACGUUAAUCGGGGCAGGGUGAGUCGACCCCUAAGGCGAGGCCGAAAGGCGUAGUCGAUGGGAAACAGGUUAAUAUUCCUGUACUUGGUGUUACUGCGAAGGGGGGACGGAGAAGGCUAUGUUGGCCGGGCGACGGUUGUCCCGGUUUAAGCGUGUAGGCUGGUUUUCCAGGCAAAUCCGGAAAACCAAGGCUGAGGCGUGAUGACGAGGCACUACGGUGCUGAAGCGACAAAUGCCCUGCUUCCAGGAAAAGCCUCUAAGCAUCAGGUAACAUCAAAUCGUACCCCAAACCGACACAGGUGGUCAGGUAGAGAAUACCAAGGCGCUUGAGAGAACUCGGGUGAAGGAACUAGGCAAAAUGGUGCCGUAACUUCGGGAGAAGGCACGCUGAUAUGUAGGUGAAGCGACUUGCUCGUGGAGCUGAAAUCAGUCGAAGAUACCAGCUGGCUGCAACUGUUUAUUAAAAACACAGCACUGUGCAAACACGAAAGUGGACGUAUACGGUGUGACGCCUGCCCGGUGCCGGAAGGUUAAUUGAUGGGGUUAGCGGUAACGCGAAGCUCUUGAUCGAAGCCCCGGUAAACGGCGGCCGUAACUAUAACGGUCCUAAGGUAGCGAAAUUCCUUGUCGGGUAAGUUCCGACCUGCACGAAUGGCGUAAUGAUGGCCAGGCUGUCUCCACCCGAGACUCAGUGAAAUUGAACUCGCUGUGAAGAUGCAGUGUACCCGCGGCAAGACGGAAAGACCCCGUGAACCUUUACUAUAGCUUGACACUGAACAUUGAGCCUUGAUGUGUAGGAUAGGUGGGAGGCUUUGAAGUGUGGACGCCAGUCUGCAUGGAGCCGACCUUGAAAUACCACCCUUUAAUGUUUGAUGUUCUAACGUUGGCCCGUAAUCCGGGUUGCGGACAGUGUCUGGUGGGUAGUUUGACUGGGGCGGUCUCCUCCUAAAGAGUAACGGAGGAGCACGAAGGUUGGCUAAUCCUGGUCGGACAUCAGGAGGUUAGUGCAAUGGCAUAAGCCAGCUUGACUGCGAGCGUGACGGCGCGAGCAGGUGCGAAAGCAGGUCAUAGUGAUCCGGUGGUUCUGAAUGGAAGGGCCAUCGCUCAACGGAUAAAAGGUACUCCGGGGAUAACAGGCUGAUACCGCCCAAGAGUUCAUAUCGACGGCGGUGUUUGGCACCUCGAUGUCGGCUCAUCACAUCCUGGGGCUGAAGUAGGUCCCAAGGGUAUGGCUGUUCGCCAUUUAAAGUGGUACGCGAGCUGGGUUUAGAACGUCGUGAGACAGUUCGGUCCCUAUCUGCCGUGGGCGCUGGAGAACUGAGGGGGGCUGCUCCUAGUACGAGAGGACCGGAGUGGACGCAUCACUGGUGUUCGGGUUGUCAUGCCAAUGGCACUGCCCGGUAGCUAAAUGCGGAAGAGAUAAGUGCUGAAAGCAUCUAAGCACGAAACUUGCCCCGAGAUGAGUUCUCCCUGAGACUUAGAGUCUCCUGAAGGAACGUUGAAGACGACGACGUUGAUAGGCCGGGUGUGUAAGCGCAGCGAUGCGUUGAGCUAACCGGUACUAAUGAACCGUGAGGCUUAACCUU
rnacentral:rRNA from 1 species